rnacentral:rRNA from 1 species
AUUGAACGCUGGCGGCAGGCCUAACACAUGCAAGUCGAACGAGUGGCGGACGGGUGAGUAAUGUCUGGGCAACUGCCCGAUGGAGGGGGAUAACUACUGGAAACGGUAGCUAAUACCGCCUACCAUCGGAUGUGCCCAGAUGGGAUGGGCUAGUAGGGGGGGUAACGGCUCACCUAGGCGACGAUCCCUAGCUGGUCUGAGAGGAUGACCGGCCACUCUGGAACGAGGACACGGUCCAGACUCCUACGGGAGGCGGCAGUGGGAAAUAUUGCACAAGGGGCGAAAGCCUGAUGCAGCCAGGCCGCGUGGAUGAAAAGGGCCUUCGGGUUGUAAAGUACUUUCAGCGAGGAGGCGUUACUCGCAGAAGAAGCACCGGCUAACUCCGUGCCAGCAGCCGCGGUAAUUC